rnacentral:rRNA from 1 species
CUGGGAACUCUGGGGAGACUGCCGGUGAUAAACCGGAGGAAGGCGGGAUGACGUCAAGUCCUCAUGGCCCUUACAUCCCGGGCUACACACGUGCUACAAUGGCAGGUACAGAGGGCUGCGAAGCCGCGAGGUGGAGCGAAUCCCAGAAAACCUGUCUCAGUCCGGAUUGAAGUCUGCAACUCGACUUCAUGAAGGCGGAAUCGCUAGUAACCGCGAAUCAGCAGGUCGCGGUGAAUACGUUCCCGGGUCUU